GAAAAACAAAAAUGAACAACCAAAACCACUACCGUCCGCCGAUCAAAAAGUUCGGCAGCGGUAGCAGUAGCGGAGGAGAUCAAACAGCGGUACUUCAUCCGGGUCAAGUUCAUUUCCGCUUACUCUGCCACGUCAGCACUGCUGGUGGAGUCAUCGGUAACUCCGGAGGUUUAAUUAGGCAGCUGGAAGCUCAAACCGGGUGCAGAAUCCGGUUUGAGGAUCCGUUACCAAAUUGCCAUGAACGGGUUGUGAACAUCACUGGUGAUUCGAUUAUAGAUAGGAAAAUCCGGGUAAGCUAUGAAGGGAGUGAUGAGGAAGUUGAGGUAGUGGAAGUUUCUAGAGCUCAGGAAGGCUUGAUUCGGGUUUACGAAAGGGUUUUGCAGGUGGAAGGGAAUGGUGGAGCAGUUGGGUGCAGAUUGCUUGCAAUUUCUGGUCAAAUUGGAGCUUUAAUGGGAAAAGGUGGUGUAAUUGUGGAUGGUAUAAGGAAAAGUACAGGAGCUAAGAUUAAGGUUUUGACGAAAGAGCAGCUUCCAGCUUGUGCCGUCGUCCCGGGAGAAGAAUUGAUUCAGAUAAUGGGUGUAAUUGCUGUAGUAAAGAGAGCAUUGGUUCAUGUUUCUCGGCGUCUUCAAAUUCGCUUACCAGCUGAGAGAUACAAAGACCAAGCUACUUCAAAAGGUGCAUCCCAUGAACAACCUGUGGACUAUCCUCUGGAUACCAAAUCCUCAAUACAACCUUUGCCGAGAAAUGCCGUUAAUCAUUCUUCAGUAGCCCAUUCAUUGUCAUCCGAUGUUGAUAGAGUUCUGAAUCUUGAUGCUGACUCUGCUCAAAGAAAAGUAGUCUUUAGAUUGCUUUGCUCUUAUAUCUCUGCUGGAGGUGUGAUUGGUAAGGGUGCCCAAAUUGUCAAAGCUCUAGAGAAAGAUACUGGAGCUUCUAUAAAGUUUUCCACUCCAACAGUACGGUCAAAAGAACGUGUGGCCAUCAUAUAUUCGCUUGAAGUUCGGAAGCCAUUGUACUCGCCUGCACAAGUUGCCACAGUUCGAGUGUUUGAAAGAUCUGUAGAAGUUAGCCGUGAACACGGACACAUUAAGGCUGGCUCAAUAAGUGCAAGAAUCUUAGUUGGGCCGCAUGAAGUUAAAUGCCUCCUUGAUGAAAAGGGAAUAGUUUCAUCUGAUAUAGGUUCAGCGAUGAGGGUUGAAGUACAGCUAUUGGAUGCAGAGAACGCUCCAAACUGUGCUGCAGAGAAUGACAAAAUAGUGCAGAUCAUUGGCGAGCAUGAUAACGUGAGGAAUGCCCUUUUUCAACUUACUGGUAGGCUGAGGGAAAUGGUCUUUUCCAGCUUGGUUUCUGAAGUAGCAGUGCCUACAAAAUAUUCUUGUUCUUGCUCCAAGAGCAGUAAACAUGAAUUUGGUACUAGUAUGCCUUCUCAGUCGGAUCAUUUGUCCAGCUUUUCUACUCUUUACCAAACGGAUCACCUUGGCUUUGGACCAAAUCUUGGUGGUCCUCAUACAUUGUUACAGGACAAGUCGAAGGAUAGAUCGAAUAACAAGAUGGGCAAGCCGGUCA
rnacentral:misc_RNA from 1 species